UACGGGGGGGGCAAGCGUUGUUCGGAAUUACUGGGCGUAAAGGGUUCGUAGGUGGCCAACUUAGUCAGACGUGAAAUCCCUCAGCUUAACUGGGGAACUGCGUCUGAUACUGGAUGGCUUGAGUGCAGGAGAGGAACGCGGAAUUCCAGGUGUAGCGGUGAAAUGCGUAGAUAUCUGGAGGAACACCGGUGGCGAAGGCGGCGUUCUGGACUGCAACUGACACUGAGGAACGAAAGCCAGGGGAGCAAACGGG
rnacentral:rRNA from 1 species